UGGUUUUUACCAAGGCUUUUAGAAUGUAAUUUCUCAUUUGCUGUGGACAUGACCACAAAAAAAUUUCUCACCAGGCUUUCUCUACUACCUUGAUAGCAAUCAGCCUUUUGGGAACAUUU
ensembl:snoRNA